rnacentral:rRNA from 1 species
UUGGGUGGUUACAGCAUUGGUGUUCACCUCUUACCAUUUCGAACAGAGAAGUUAAGACCAAUAGCGCAGAUGGUACUACCAAUUUGGUGGGAGAGUAUGUCGCUGCCCAUC